AUUGAACGCUGGCGGCAUGCCUUACACAUGCAAGUCGAACGGCUCUUCGGAGCAGUUGCGGACGGGUGAGUAACGCGUGGGAAUGUGCCCUUAGGUACGGAACAACACAAGGAAACUUGUGCUAAUACCGGAUGUGCCCUUCGUGGGAAAGAUUUAUCGCCUUUGGAGCAGCCCGCGUUGGAUUAGGUAGUUGGUGAGGUAAAGGCUCACCAAGGCGACGAUCCAUAGCUGGUCUGAGAGGAUGACCAGCCACACUGGGACUGAGACACGGCCGAGACUCCUACGGAAGGCAGCAGUAGGGAAUCUUGCGCAAUGGGCGAAAGCCUGACGCAGCCAUGCCGCGUGUAUGAUGAAGGUCUUAGGAUUGUAAAAUACUUUCACCGGGGAAGAUAAUGACGGUACCCGGAGAAGAAGCCCCGGCUAACUUCGUGCCAGCCGCCGCCGUAA
rnacentral:rRNA from 1 species